UGUAAUCUAACUUUUUUCUAAUAAUUGGAAACAGGUAAACAGUAAUGAUUAUUGGAGAUAAUUGGGUUGUUCAUGAAAAUAAUUUAAAUUAUCACCUGCUUGUUUGUGGGAAAGAGAUAUUUUACCCCAAAAUUUUUUCCAGCCCUCAGAUUAAAUUAAAUGAAUGUGCUUGUGCAGGCAGAGUGUUGUUUACUCUCGUGAGGUGUGGUGUGUUUAUUGUUCCUUACCGUUUUCUUUUGUAAAAAAUUGAUUUGGAAAUAUCGCCAAUUUAUUGUUGUGUUCGUAAUUGUUUCAAUAACACGGAAGAAAAUUUCCAAUUAAGCUUCUUUUCCGGCUGACCCAGAAAGGUGUAUGACAUGGGUAAAAAAUUGUGGACGUCGUGAUCUGCAGAAAUUUUCACCACAACAUUUACACCGGAACUACCGAAUGUGUAGUUUGCAUUUUGAAAACAAAAUGUUGGCAGGAUUUCCAAAAAGCAGACUUAAGAAGCAAGCAGUGCCCACAUUAUUUAAUUUGAAUCAGAUUUCUGAAAAACCCGAAACGAGAGAACCACAAACAAAAUCAAGUUCUGUUAAAGGUUACAUAGAAUCAGAGACACAAGAUACUCAGAUUCAAUAGCAAUUAUGAAGGUGAGACGGUUGAGACACCCUUAAUACAAGAUAUGGCCCAUGUUACUCCUAGUAACAUUUUGUCGAUUCCAAGCACGUCACAAUAUUAAGACAUCUUGUCCAUCCCAAGUACUUCACAAACGGCUGUUAAUUUAUUUGCGAAAAAGUCUAUUUCUGGAGAUGCAUUUGAGGUUGCUACUCAAACUUCAACAAGAUUGACAGCCGAUUCUCUACGAAAAUGUGAAUUACAAUAAAAAAUGAACACCUUGAAGAGACAAUUCAAACAGAAAUCUUCAGAAAUAGUACCUGCUUCAAAAAUUAGUGAGACAGUAUUUUACGUUACUGUAAAGACCAUUUCUCAGACUCGGUAACAAAUUUUAUGUCAGCAAAUUUAGAUAUGAACAGAAAAAAAGUAAAAGGUGUUCGAUAUUCCAAUAAAUUUAAACAGUUUGCUUUGACGUGUACUUUUUAAGUCCACAGGCUUAUAAAUUUCUGAGAAAAACAUUUUGCUUUUAUAAUUUAUGAUAGAACAAAAGAUAAAACAAUAAGACUAACUUACUCUGUGACUACGUCGUCUAUAAAAUAAAAAAUCAGUUGUUGGAUUAUAACUUGGAAUACUUAUCCAUGCCAGAAUUUUACAAAAGACUUUUUAAUAUCAUUAUAUGUUAGAUUAAGGAUUUUUUUUCAUUAAAAUAUUUAAACAGGGAUAUGUCUACAAGUAUAUGCAGGGCAAAAAAUUAUAAACUAUGAAACUUACAGCACAUUUAAAAAUAUUUUCUGUUGUAAAA